rnacentral:rRNA from 1 species
UUCCGGUUGAUCCCGCCGGAGGCCAUUGCUAUCGGAGUCCGAUUUAGCCAUGCUAGUCGCGCGGGUUUAGACCCGCGGCAUAUAGCUCAGUAACACGUGGCCAAACUACCCUACAGACCGCGAUAACCUCGGGAAACUGAGGCCAAUAGCGGAUAUUACUCUCAUGCUGGAGUGCAGAGAGUGAGAAACGUUCCGGCGCUGUAGGAUGUGGCUGCGGCCGAUUAGGUAGAUGGUGGGGUAACGGCCCACCAUGCCCAUAAUCGGUACAGGUUGUGAGAGCAAGAGCCUGGAGACGGUAUCUGAGACAAGAUACCGGGCCCUACGGGGCGCAGCAGGCGCGAAACCUUUACACUGCACGAGAGUGCGAUAGGGGGACUCCGAGUGCGAGGGCAUAUAGUCCUCGCUUUUCUGUACCGUAAGGUGGUACAGGAACAAGUGCUGGGCAAGACCGGUGCCAGCCGCCGCGGUAAUACCGGCAGCACGAGUGAUGGCCGAUAUUAUUGGGCCUAAAGCGUCCGUAGCUUGCUGUGUAAGUCCAUUGGGAAAUCCACGCGCUCAACGCGUGGGCGUCCGGUGGAAACUACACGGCUUGGGGCCGAGAGACUCGACGGGUACGUCCGGGGUAGGAGUGAAAUCCUGUAAUCCUGGACGGACCACCAAUGGGGAAACCACGUCGAGAGACCGGACCCGACAGUGAGGGACGAAAGCCAGGGUCUCGAACCGGAUUAGAUACCCGGGUAGUCCUGGCUGUAAACGAUGCUCGCUAGGUAUGUCACGCGCCAUGAGCACGUGAUGUGCCGCAGUGAAGGCGAUAAGCGAGCCGCCUGGGAAGUACGUCCGCAAGGAUGAAACUUAAAGGAAUUGGCGGGGGAGCACCACAACCGGAGGAGCCUGCGGUUUAAUUGGACUCAACGCCGGA